AGGCCUAACACAUGCAAGUCGAGCGCCGUAGCAAUACGGAGCGGCAGACGGGAGAGUAACACGUGGGAACGUGCCCUUCAGUUCGGAACAACCCAGGGAAACUUGGGCUAAUACCGGAUACGUCCGUAAGGAGAAAGAUUUAUCGCUGAAGGAUCGGCCCGCGUCUGAUUAGCUAGUUGGUGGGGUAACGGCCCACCAAGGCGACGAUCAGUAGCUGGUCUGAGAGGAUGAUCAGCCUCACUGGGACUGAGACACGGCCCAGACUCCUCCGGGAGGCAGCAG
rnacentral:rRNA from 1 species